rnacentral:rRNA from 1 species
ACGCUGGCGGCGUGCCUAAUACAUGCAAGUAGAACGCUGAAGAGAGGAGCUUGCUCUUCUUGGAUGAGUUGCGAACGGGUGAGUAACGCGUAGGUAACCUGCCUUGUAGCGGGGGAUAACUAUUGGAGACGAUAGCUAAUACCGCAUAACAAUGGAUGACACAUGUCAUUUAUUUGAAAGGGGCAAUUGCUCCACUACAAGAUGGACCUGCGUUGUAUUAGCUAGUAGGUGAGGUAACGGCUCACCUAGGCGACGAUACAUAGCCGACCUGAGAGGGUGAUCGGCCACACUGGGACUGAGACACGGCCCAGACUCCUACGGGAGGCAGCAGUAGGGAAUCUUCGGCAAUGGGGGCAACCCUGACCGAGCAACGCCGCGUGAGUGAAGAAGGUUUUCGGAUCGUAAAGCUCUGUUGUAAGUCAAGAACGAGUGUGAGAGUGGAAAGUUCACACUGUGACGGUAGCUUACCAGAAAGGGACGGCUAACUACGUGCCAGCAGCCGCGGUAAUACGUAGGUCCCGAGCGUUGUCCGGAUUUAUUGGGCGUAAAGCGAGCGCAGGCGGUUUGAUAAGUCUGAAGUUAAAGGCUGUGGCUCAACCAUAGUUCGCUUUGGAAACUGUCAAACUUGAGUGCAGAAGGGGAGAGUGGAAUUCCAUGUGUAGCGGUGAAAUGCGUAGAUAUAUGGAGGAACACCGGUGGCGAAAGCGGCUCUCUGGUCUGUAACUGACGCUGAGGCUCGAAAGCGUGGGGAGCGAACAGGAUUAGAUACCCUGGUAGUCCACGCCGUAAACGAUGAGUGCUAGGUGUUGGAUCCUUUCCGGGAUUCAGUGCCGCAGCUAACGCAUUAAGCACUCCGCCUGGGGAGUACGACCGCAAGGUUGAAACUCAAAGGAAUUGACGGGGGCCCGCACAA